GAUGAACGCUGGCGGCGUGCCUAAUACAUGCAAGUCGAGCGAACGGACGAGAAGCUUGCUUUUCUGAUGUUAGCGGCGGACGGGUGAGUAACACGUGGAUAACCUACCUAUAAGACUGGGAUAACUUCGGGAAACCGGAGCUAAUACCGGAUAAUAUUUUGAACCGCAUGGUUCAAAAGUGAAAGACGGUCUUGCUGUCACUUAUAGAUGGAUCCGCGCUGCAUUAGCUAGUUGGUAAGGUAACGGCUUACCAAGGCAACGAUGCAUAGCCGACCUGAGAGGGUGAUCGGCCACACUGGAACUGAGACACGGUCCAGACUCCUACGGGAGGCAGCAGUAGGGAAUCUUCCGCAAUGGGCGAAAGCCUGACGGAGCAACGCCGCGUGAGUGCUGAAGGUCUUCGGAUCGUAAAACUCUGUUAUUAGGGAAGAACAUAUGUGUAAGUAACUGUGCACAUCUUGACGGUACCUAAUCAGAAAGCCACGGCUAACUACGUG
rnacentral:rRNA from 1 species